UGACAUACGGGCAGAGGCCUGUAUAAGGUAGCAAGUAGGCCUGCUCCCUCCACUUUUACUAUCUCCGCUGCUCUGUGACCUUGCCUGUCAUAUGCAGUUGCUCUGCUUCAUAUCUCAUUGCUGGCAUAGAUAAAUUAAAAACAAAUGAAAAUCAAAUAAUUUAAUGGUCACUUUCUAAGGAGGUGCUUUCCAGGAAAGAAAAUCUGGUAGCCUGUUGUACAGACAACACAUUAUUGCAACUGGCUAAAGUAACAGCCUGAAUAUGGAUGAAAGGGGAAGCCAAUUCAGUGUCAUGGACAGUCUUUGUACUGGGCAUACUGGAGGAGCAAGAUCGGAGGCCUCAGCAGGGACCAGAAGAAGCUGCUGGAAGCCACUGCAAUCUAUGGGGCCUUCCUCAGGCAGUUCUGAUGCUUGUGCAACGUAGCUGGCCAACUAUCGGGCAACCCUGCCAUUGGAUGUCAGAAUCAGAUCCGGGUUUAUUAUCACCAGCAUGUGUUGUGAAAUUUAACCUUGCAGCAGCAGUUCAAAGCAAUACAUAAUAUAGAACAAAUAAAUAAUUAAGUAUAUCACUUACAGUAUAUGCAUAUUGAAUAGAUUAAAGUCCCAAAUGAUGUGUAUGUUGCUUUGUCAAUGAGCACCCCACAGUUUAGUGUUCUUCAAAAUUCAAAGUAAAUUUUAUUAUCAAAGUACAUACUGCAUAUGUCACUAUAUACCACCCUGAGACUCAUUUUCCUGCAGGCAUU